rnacentral:lncRNA from 10 species
CGCGGGCCGGGGCGCCGAGCAGAGCGACGCCGACUUUUGGAGCAGUUUGCGCCUGCGCGGAACGCGUGGCCGGCUUCCGGAAUCCUACCGGGACUUUUCCGGUAGCGAAGCCCGCGCCUGUGCCAAGGCUUGCGAGCAGAAUGCCUUCGCGAUGGACGCCCGCAUUCCACCCCCUUGACCGCUGGGACCCCUAGUGGCGGGUGGGUGGAGCGCGCUCCAUUUACCUGCUGGUUACCUCGUGAGGCGCCUCAGAUUCUUCUGGAGCUGGAGAUGAACUCGGACCUCAAGGCCCAGCUCAGGGAACUGAUUAUUACAGCAGCGAGGGAAACUGAAGUUGGUGGUGGUGAGAAAGUUAUCAUGGGCAGGUACAGCAGCUCACGCCUGGAAUCCCAGCACUGUGGGGAGCUGA